rnacentral:rRNA from 1 species
GACGAACGCUGGCGGCGUGCCUAACACAUGCAAGUCAAGGCGGUAGCAAUACCGACUGGCGCACGGGUGCGGAACACGUAGGCAAUCUGCCCAUCAGGGGAGAACAACUCACCGAAAGGUGAGCUAAAUCUCCGUAAUGUUUUAUCAUGGCAUCAUGAUUUAACCAAGCUUUCUGAUGGAUGAGCCUGCGUCUGAUUAGCUAGUUGGUAGUGUAACGGACUACCAAGGCUACGAUCAGUAGCUGGUCUGAGAGGAUGAUCAGCCACAUUGGGACUGAGACACGGCCCAGACUCCUACGGGAGGCAGCAGUGAGGAAUAUUGCUCAAUGGACGAAAGUCUGAAGCAGCAACGCCGCGUGAGGGAUGAAGGUGCUCUGCAUUGUAAACCUCUGUAGUCGGGGACAAAAAACAGGUUAUUACCUGUCUGAUGGUACCCGAAAGUAAGGAUCGGCUAACUACGUGCCAGCCGCC